UCAACGACAACCAACAGUAGAUUUACCUGAAGGAAGAGGGACGAGCUCCCAAGUACCACUCGUAUGUAAAGCAGACAUCUCGUCAGUCAUAGCCAGUCGCCACCCUGGAUGAGACAAUGCUUCACUUGUAGACUGAGGGAUGGAAACAGAGGAUAAAGAAGAUAGAAAAGCAUAACAGGGUGAUGACAAACAAUGAUAACUUAAACAGAUAUAAUGGGGAUUAGGAUUAAGGGUGGUCCUUAUACCUUUCCGAAGUGCAAUCAGAAGAUACAAGUCCGCAGUAGGAGCAGGUUCAGGUGCAGGGCGUGAAUCAACCGGGCCGGAUGCUGGGCGAGGACGAUUAUGAUAUGUCUAGUGUGGAGUUUCUGUGGCAGGGAGUCUAGGAGGAGCCACACUAGACUCUCCAACAGUUGGAAUGGNN
rnacentral:lncRNA from 1 species